GGUUCAAACAGUGGAGAGGAGGAUCUCCCAAAUUGCCUUGAAGAGCUAACUGGGAAGGAGUUUCUGUUUCAGAUCCUUGUCACACCUUUCAACUUCACACCCAAUCACCAUACCUUCACUGUCUCCACCAACCAUGGCAAGACAUGAACACAAGUAUACGAGCUCUGGUCUUGUCUAUGAAGGCUUUGAGUUAACUCAGCCGUUGGAUCGUGAUAGUUACUUUAGCAGCGGGAGAGUCUCCGGAGGAUUGAUGCCGGAGCUAUUUGCCGGUGAAUUGUUCUGUCUCCCUCCGUUCGUCUUC